rnacentral:rRNA from 1 species
AAUUGGAGGGCAAGUCUGGUGCCAGCAGCCGCGGUAAUUCCAGCUCCAAUAGCGUAUAUUAAAGUUGUUGCAGUUAAAAAGCUCGUAGUUGAAUUUCGGGAUUGACACAUCGGUCGUGCCUUAAGGGGUAUGAACUGGUGUAGUCAAUUUCUCACCUUCUGGAGAACCGCGAUGCCCUUAAUUGGGUGUCACGGGGAACCAGGACCUUUACUUUGAAAAAAUUAGAGUGUUUAAAGCAGGCAUUUUGCUUGAAUACAUUAGCAUGGAAUAAUAAAAUAGGACGGCAUGAUUCUAUUUUGUUGGUUUCUAGGAUCACCGUAAUGAUUAAUAGGGAUAGUUGGGGGCAUUAGUAUUCAAUUGUCAGAGGUGAAAUUCUUGGAUUUAUUGAAGACUAACUACUGCGAAAGCAUUUGCCAAGGAUGUUUUCACUAAUCAAGAACGAAAGUUAGGGGAUCGAAGACGAUCAGAUACCGUCGUAGUCUUAACCAUAAACUAUGCCGACUAGGAAUCAGACGAUGUUAAUUUUUUAAUGACUCGUUUGGCACCUUACGGGAAACCAAAGUGU